GCUCAAUGGUGCAGUAGUUAGCGCGUCUGACUGUUGCGUCAAGGGUCGUGGGUUCGAUUCCCACAUCGGGCA
rnacentral:tRNA from 1 species